rnacentral:rRNA from 1 species
UACGGAGGAUCCAAGCGUUAUCCGGAUUUAUUGGGUUUAAAGGGUGCGUAGGUGGGCAGGUAAGUCAGUGGUGAAAUCUCCGGGCUUAACUCGGAAACUGCCGUUGAUACUAUCUGUCUUGAAUAUCGUGGAGGUUAGCGGAAUAUGUCAUGUAGCGGUGAAAUGCUUAGAUAUGACAUAGAACACCCAUUGCGAAGCCAGCUAACUACACGAUCAUUGACACUGAGGCACGAAAGCGUGGGGAGCAAGCAGG